GGGGUAUAGCUCAGUUGGUAGAGUGAUUGCCUCACAUGUAUAAGGCCCUGGAUUCGAUCCCCAGCACCACCA
rnacentral:tRNA from 1 species